CUAAACAAAUAAAGCCUGUUCCUCAUAAUGAAAAUACCUUCUUCGGCAUGUUAAAAAACAAGAAAGCAAUUAGCCAAAUAUUUAAAGCAAAAGCAGAUAUUUGAGUAAGAUAUCUUUGAGGUUGUGAGCAUUUGAAUUUCCCUUACUCUUUUACUGUCAAAAGCAACCUUUUCAACAUGCACACUACUUUGGUUUCCAGACUAGUAAGACACAGAAGAGACCCAAAAGCCUUUGUGUAAUUUCAGUCAGUGAUCUACCUUGUUAUUGUCACAAUUCAGAGCAUAUACACCUGGCAAAAUUACAAUAGUGAGAAUACCUCAUCACUGAAAUAGUUUACCAAAGCAUGUAGUGAGCUCUCUGUCACUCGAAAACUUCAAAUAAAGGUUGAUUGUCUUUCUAAAAGAUUUGUUGCAAUUUAACCAGAAAUCAUAGGCAUUAAGUACAACUUUUAUGCUCUGUUUUGCAGAAAAUCAAGACAGGAUGAGCAUAAUGAUGUCUGCUAGCCCUAAGAAACCCAGUCAAUCUUAUGAAGAAAUAUUCCCUCCAUUUUCAGACGUCAGAUGCCAAACCUCAGUUGCGUUUCUCCCUUCCAAUACUACUACAGCCUCGUUUCUGCUCAUCUCACACCAGCUACUUUUCAUCCAAAGUUCAGUCUCAAACUGUCUCACUGUGUCAGAUGUGUCAGAUUGUCCCCAACUACAUCUCAGACCGCUUGUUCUUUUUCUGCUCCCUUUGACUCACUCCCCCCAAAAUAUUAAGUAGAUGAGAGCAACUGAAGCUUCAGAAAAAUCACUGAGGUAAUUUUAUAUAGGUCAGAAAUUGAUUUUUAAGGUCAACCACGGACAAUCUCCAAACCUCUGUUAUCAUAACAAUCCUGUUACAGAAAUUCUCUGUGCAUGUGUUUAAGCAAUGUUUAAAAGAAGUUAUAAUAUUUUGUGAUUCAUACUAGUUUCAAACAAGAAGAGGUCAUAAUAGCGGAUACCAUAACCUGCCAUGUAACGUAAACCACUUAUUCAACAGGUGCAGAUGUGAUUGAAGAUUCUGAAAUCAUAAACACUAUCAUGUAUAUCCCAAAGGAUAUAUAAAAUCCAUUCAUAUAUAGAAAAAAUAUUAUGUGAACAUAUACACACAAAAUACGUACACAGAGUGCCAGCAAAAAAUUUCAGUCUGUAAACCAAGGGCUUCGGAAUAAGUAAUUAUCUGGUGAGAACCACAGGAAGACAUUUGGGGACAAUGAACACAGUUAUUUAGUGCUUGUAUUUUUUUGAACUACUGUAUUUAUAUUUGAUUUUCUUGUAUUUUAUUUUCCAUAAAGAUUGUGAAAAUGGUAAAUAGUUUUAACUAAUGUUUUAAGAGAUGAUGUAAAUAGAUUUUCAGCUUAUUUUACCAUAUGUUAAAGAUGACAGAAGAUGAUACAACAAGCAAUAAGAUUCAUUCACAAGGAGAAAGUCCAAGAAUGCAUGUGUUUUUAUGUUUUGAGGCUAGGAAAUGAUUUUGGCUCUCUCCCAGAAUGAACUGUUUAAUCAGAAAACAUGUUGUAGUGAAUUAACUAGUAGUGGCUUAUAGCAAAUCUCACUGACUCUUUCCAUGAUCAAAAUUCUCAUUUAAGGGACAGAGGUUCAUUCAUUUCAUUCACAGAAAUAUGCACAUGCAAUUGUGAUCAACAAGGUUAAGCAACAGCAUGACAGAGGCCAAGUCAGUCUUAGGCAGACAUAAUCAUGAAGAAAAG
rnacentral:lncRNA from 1 species